CAUGGAAAACUGAAAUAAGAAAAUCAGGAAUAAUAAAUCUAUAGAUGACUGGGGGAAAUGAGAGAGACAGCAUCUUCCUGCUUAGCAGACAUUCUACAAGAAUAGCUGAGCGCAGCACUUAUAACACAGAUUUCUUCAAAGUUUCACGGCAGCAGACCUCAAGGCUGAACAGCAUUGCUUAAUCCACAGAAUGGGUACAACAUGAGCUGUGGCAGAACAAGUCUCUCUACCACUAUGAAUCCAGUGCUGAGGGGCCUGAUACCACUUUUCAAUGGAAAAUGAAAGCCUCAGCACCUCUCAAAAGCAAAGUUAUUCAGAAGGUGCACAACAAGCAUCCACUAAUAACUAGGCACAUGAAGUCAGAUCCAUGUCAGCUGUUAAUCAGUGUAGCUAUCCUGACUUCUGUGGGACUACACAUAUUUAUACUAUCUGAGGAUCUAGCCUGUGAUAUUUUUACAGGUACUGAUUCUACAAAGUACGUAAGCACAUGGGUAGUUGCAAUGAAGCAUUUGCUGAAUUGGGACUUCAGCGAGCAGCGGUGAAAUGAAACUAGUUCAGCAUAACCACCUACAUCUGGAUUAAGAUACUACAUGACUGCAAAGUUUAUUUCUCCCUUUUAAGGCUUUCAAACUUUGACUCGCAUCAAAUCGUUGGAUUGUGUCUCAUGUUUAUGCUUUGUUGCACAAAUACCACCCCACCUUUGAUCUAUAUUAUUUACGUUCCCCGCCUCUUCCACUUGUCUUUUCCUGUAUAUUGUUCAUUCUCUUCUUUGGAACUGUUCUGAAAUCUUUGAUCUUGCGGCAUCCAUACAGCUGAUUCUAGUCAUUUUCUUUUAAUCAGCAACAAACGACACUUGUUUCCUAACCACUUUUUCAUUUAUUGACAUUUGUGGCUCAGCCUGCAUUUGUUCUUUAUUUACUGUGGUUCAGUUUUUAUGCUCUUUGAUUUAUUCGGUGUAAGGCACCUUCAUACAUAUGAAAGGUACGCUAUAAAUCAAUAAAUAAUAAUAAUAAAUGAAGUGAAGUUUGCAUUCCACCUUAUGUUUUCUAAGCAUCAAAACAUGAAGUCUCUGCGGACAGUCAGGUAUUAAAUAAAGCACUGUAAAACCACACCAUCAAACACCUCUUGUUACUUGGUCAAAUUAAACUCUAGCUUUAAGGGUGGCCUCACAGGACUUUAUAGCAAGGUUGUCUUUUGUUCACUUAUCUUUCACGUUUAAACUGUAUCUUGUAAAUCAA